rnacentral:rRNA from 1 species
GACGAACGCUGGCGGCGUGCUUAACACAUGCAAGUCGAACGGAAAGGCCCUGCUUUUGUGGGGUGCUCGAGUGGCGAACGGGUGAGUAACACGUGAGUAACCUGCCCUUGACUUUGGGAUAACUUCAGGAAACUGGGGCUAAUACCGGAUAGGAGCUCCUGCUGCAUGGUGGGGGUUGGAAAGUUUCGGCGGUUGGGGAUGGACUCGCGGCUUAUCAGCUUGUUGGUGGGGUAGUGGCUUACCAAGGCUUUGACGGGUAGCCUGCCUGGGAGGGUGACCGGCCACAUUGGGAUUGAGAUACGGCCCAGACUCCUACGGGAGGCAGCAGUGGGGAAUAGUGCACAAUGGGCGGAAGCCUGAUGCAGCAACGCCGCGUGCGGGAUGACGGCCUUCGGGUUGUAAUCCGCUUUCGCCUGUGACGAGGCGUGAGUGACGGUAAUGGGUAAAGAAGCACCGGCUAACUACGUG